GCGGUUACUGAAUUGUCAAACAUCAACUUUUGACAAUCAGAGUUAGCACGAAAUGUAUGGAGCUGUACAGGGCCAUCUCGUUUACCCGUCAAAAUCGAAGCACGAAAUUGUUUUAGAUUUGACACCUCUUACUCAAUCAAUGUACUUAUCUUUGCUAAAAGCAAGUGUUCUUUCAUUUAAAUCGACCAAGUAAUGUUUUUUCGCAAGAUGUGAAACACUGAAAUCGCAAAUUCAAUUUAUAAAUAUUUUAUGCUCUAUGUAAAUGUAUAUUUUUUUUACAAUUUCCUUUUUAUCUCUGGAACAACAGGAGAGAUGACUAAAUCUGUCUUUAUGGCCCGGCAUAUCGCCAAGUCCGUAGCCUUUUGCCUACCCACAACAAAGAGUCCAAAAAACGAGCUACAAAUCUUCCUGCAUUAGCAAUUUAGGCUCAUAGAUACCUUACAAACUAACAUACAUACAAUAAAAAAAUCCACCCACAACUGAAGUAAAAGUACGUCGUCGUCCAUCAAAGGUCGAACACAACGUUAACAAUGCAUGCACCUAGCUGGCUGCCCUUAAUGGCUUUUCACAAGGAAUCGAUAAUCCCAAGGCGUGGACCCCAUUUCAGGGGGUAUUUUUGGUAGAGAGUGGGCACUACGGCUUGCGUGAUUCACGUGGUACUGGUAAGGUAGGUAGGAAUGAUUUUAACUAAUGACAGGGGUUACCAAGUAGCAAUGAUAACAUAAACAAACAUGCGUUAGUUAGGAUAUCCCCUAUAUUAUGUGUGUUGUUAAACUCUUCUGCCCCUGAAUAUUAAAUUUAAUUUUGAUUAUUCGACUCGGAACAUCAAUCGAUAUUAUACUACCUAACUUUUAGCUACCAUAGUUUAUUAUUAGUAUUCAUUUUAAACUUUAUUGAUCAUCAAUAAAGGUACACAUGACGAA